rnacentral:misc_RNA from 1 species
AACCUUAUGGACCUGCGGGCGUAUACCUGCGGAGGGAUCAUUAGUGAAGUUUGGGUGUCUCGCCAGAGAGCCCGUCUUUUCCACCUCUUUUCAACCCUGUGCACUUGUCGUCAGUGCGGGUCUUCUCUCCUCCGAUGACCCGCCUGAUUAGGAGCCUUUCAUUUAUUUGAAAAAUUAAGUUUUUUUUUUUAAAACGCAAGUGAAUGGAUGUAAAAACCGUGGUGGUGUAAAUAACCAAGA